AACGCUGGCGGCGUGCCUAAUACAUGCAAGUCGAACGAGUUCUCGUUGAUGAUCGGUGCUUGCACCGAGAUUCAACAUGGAACGAGUGGCGGACGGGUGAGUAACACGUGGGUAACCUGCCCUUAAGUGGGGGAUAACAUUUGGAAACAGAUGCUAAUACCGCAUAGAUCCAAGAACCGCAUGGUUCUUGGCUGAAAGAUGGCGUAAGCUAUCGCUUUUGGAUGGACCCGCGGCGUAUUAGCUAGUUGGUGAGGUAAUGGCUCACCAAGGCGAUGAUACGUAGCCGAACUGAGAGGUUGAUCGGCCACAUUGGGACUGAGACACGGCCCAAACUCCUACGGGAGGCAGCAGUAGGGAAUCUUCCACAAUGGACGCAAGUCUGAUGGAGCAACGCCGCGUGAGUGAAGAAGGCUUUCGGGUCGUAAAACUCUGUUGUUGGAGAAGAAUGGUCGGCAGAGUAACUGUUGUCGGCGUGACGGUAUCCAACCAGAAAGCCACGGCUAACUACGUGCCAGCAGCCGCGGUAAUACGUAGGUGGCAAGCGUUAUCCGGAUUUAUUGGGCGUAAAGCGAGCGCAGGCGGUUUUUUAAGUCUGAUGUGAAAGCCCUCGGCUUAACCGAGGAAGCGCAUCGGAAACUGGGAAACUUGAGUGCAGAAGAGGACAGUGGAACUCCAUGUGUAGCGGUGAAAUGCGUAGAUAUAUGGAAGAACACCAGUGGCGAAGGCGGCUGUCUGGUCUGUAACUGACGCUGAGGCUCGAAAGCAUGGGUAGCGAACAGGAUUAGAUACCCUGGUAGUCCAUGCCGUAAACGAUGAAUGCUAGGUGUUGGAGGGUUUCCGCCCUUCAGUGCCGCAGCUAACGCAUUAAGCAUUCCGCCUGGGGAGUACGACCGCAAGGUUGAAACUCAAAGGAAUUGACGGGGGCCCGCACAAGCGGUGGAGCAUGUGGUUUAAUUCGAAGCAACGCGAAGAACCUUACCAGGUCUUGACAUCUUUUGAUCACCUGAGAGAUCAGGUUUCCCCUUCGGGGGCAAAAUGACAGGUGGUGCAUGGUUGUCGUCAGCUCGUGUCGUGAGAUGUUGGGUUAAGUCCCGCAACGAGCGCAACCCUUAUGACUAGUUGCCAGCAUUUAGUUGGGCACUCUAGUAAGACUGCCGGUGACAAACCGGAGGAAGGUGGGGAUGACGUCAAAUCAUCAUGCCCCUUAUGACCUGGGCUACACACGUGCUACAAUGGAUGGUACAACGAGUUGCGAGACCGCGAGGUCAAGCUAAUCUCUUAAAGCCAUUCUCAGUUCGGACUGUAGGCUGCAACUCGCCUACACGAAGUCGGAAUCGCUAGUAAUCGCGGAUCAGCACGCCGCGGUGAAUACGUUCCCGGGCCUUGUACACACCGCCCGUCACACCAUGAGAGUUUGUAACACCCGAAGCCGGUGGCGUAACCCUUUUAGGGAGCGAGCCGUCUAAGGUGGGACAAAUGAUUAGG
rnacentral:rRNA from 2 species